rnacentral:rRNA from 1 species
CGAUGAAGCCGCUUCGGUGGUGGAUUAGUGGCGAACGGGUGAGUAACACGUGGGCAAUCUGCCCUGCACUCUGGGACAAGCCCUGGAAACGGGGUCUAAUACCGGAUAUGAUCACCGGCCGCAUGGUCUGGUGGUGGAAAGCUCCGGCGGUGCAGGAUGAGCCCGCGGCCUAUCAGCUUGUUGGUGGGGUGAUGGCCUACCAAGGCGACGACGGGUAGCCGGCCUGAGAGGGCGACCGGCCACACUGGGACUGAGACACGGCCCAGACUCCUACGGGAGGCAGCAGUGGGGAAUAUUGCACAAUGGGCGCAAGCCUGAUGCAGCGACGCCGCGUGAGGGAUGACGGCCUUCGGGUUGUAAACCUCUUUCAGCAGGGAAGAAGCGCAAGUGACGGUACCUGCAGAAGAAGCACCGGCUAACUACGUGCCAGCAGCCGCGGUAAUACGUAGGGUGCGAGCGUUGUCCGGAAUUAUUGGGCGUAAAGAGCUCGUAGGCGGCUUGUCGCGUCGGAUGUGAAAGCCCGGGGCUUAACCCCGGGUCUGCAUUCGAUACGGGCAGGCUAGAGUUCGGUAGGGGAGAUCGGAAUUCCUGGUGUAGCGGUGAAAUGCGCAGAUAUCAGGAGGAACACCGGUGGCGAAGGCGGAUCUCUGGGCCGAUACUGACGCUGAGGAGCGAAAGCGUGGGGAGCGAACAGGAUUAGAUACCCUGGUAGUCCACGCCGUAAACGUUGGGAACUAGGUGUGGGCCACAUUCCACGUGGUCCGUGCCGCAG